CGUCGCGCGUGAGGUAGGCCAUCGUCGUGGUGCCUUUAGACGGCACCCAUUGGUCGUAACGGCCGCCGUUCCAUGCGGUAUGCGUCGU
rnacentral:tRNA from 1 species